UCCCUGGUGGCCUAGUAGUUAAGGAUCUGCAUUGUCACUGCUGUGGCUCAGGUCACUGCUGUGGCACAGGUUUGAUCCUUGUCCUGGGAA
rnacentral:tRNA from 1 species